AUCGCUUCUCGGCCUUUUAGCUAAGAUCAAGUGCAUAUCUGUUCUUAUCAGAUUGAUAAUGCCUGAGCAGUUGGCAGCAUGCUCAGAUGCACACAGGGGACAUGACAGCCAGCUCAU
ensembl:snRNA U2 U2 spliceosomal RNA